UGGGGAAUAUUGCACAAUGGGCGAAAGCCUGAUGCAGCGACGCCGCGUGAGGGAUGACGGCCUUCGGGUUGUAAACCUCUUUCAGUAGGGACGAAGCGCAAGUGCCGGUACCUGCAGAAGAAGCACCGCCUAACUACGUGCCAGCAGCCGCGGUAAUACGUAGGGUGCGAGCGUUGUCCGGAAUUACUGGGCGUAAAGAGCUCGUAGGCGGUUUGUCACGUCGUCUGUGAAAUCCUAGGGCUUAACCCUGGACGUGCAGGCGAUACGGGCUGACUUGAGUACUACAGGGGAGACUGGAAUUUCUGGUGUAGCGGUGGAAUGCACAGAUAUCAGGAAGAACACCGAUGGCGAAGGCAGGUCUCUGGGUAGUAACUGACGCUGAGGAGCGAAAGCAUGGGUAGCGAACAGG
rnacentral:rRNA from 1 species